GUUGUUGUCGGUGGUGAUGGUGGUGGCGGUAGUGAUGAUGUUGAUGGUGUUCAGGGAGUUGGUGUGUGUGUUGAGGAUCUUUUAGGUGUUGAUUAUUAUUUCAGUUAGGAUAGUUUUAGUGUCUCAGGGUAUUUCUGGGUGUAAUUAAUUUGUAUUUUAAGUGGGUAAUAUUGCAUUUAGGUCAAUCUUCAAUCUCAGGAAUAGAACGUACUAAUUAUUCAGGGACUCAGAGGGGUUAGGUUAUAAUUAGGGUUACAUAUUUAUUUAUUUGUACCCUGUGUUGCCUCUGUUUUUAUAGUGGGUAUCAUUGCAUUUAGGUCAGUCUUCAAUCUCAGGAAUAGAACGUACUAAUUAUUCAGGGACUCAGAGGGGUCAGGUUAUAAUUAGGGUUACAUAUUUAUUUAUUUGUACCCUGUGUUGCCCCUGUUUUUAAAGUGGGUAUCAUUGCAUUUAGGUCAGUCUUCAAUCUCAGGAAUAGAACGUACUAAUUAUUCAGGGACUCAGAGGGGUUAGGUUAUAAUUAGGGUUACAUAUUUAUUUAUUUGUACCCUGUGUUGCCUCUGUUUUUAAAGUGGGUAUCAUUGCAUUUAGGUCAGUCUUCAAUCUCAGGAAUAGAACACUCUAACAAUUUUGGUACUCAGAAGGGUUAGCUUAAUAUUUGAGUUACAUGUUUAUUUAUUUGCUCACUGUGUUGGC